rnacentral:rRNA from 1 species
CCUACGGGAGGCAGCAGUGAGGAAUAUUGGUCAAUGGACGAGAGUCUGAACCAGCCAAGUAGCGUGAAGGAUGACUGCCCUAUGGGUUGUAAACUUCUUUUAUAUGGGAAUAAAAUGUUCCACGUGUGGGAUUUUGUAUGUACCAUAUGAAUAAGGAUCGGCUAACUCCGUGCCAGCAGCCGCGGUAAUACGGAGGAGCCGAGCGUUAUCCGGAUUUAUUGGGUUUAAAGGGAGCGUAGGUGGAUUGUUAAGUCAGUUGUGAAAGUGUGCGGCUCAACCGUAAAAUUGCAGUUGAAACUGGCAGUCUUGAGUACAGUAGAGGUGGGCGGAAUUCGUGGUGUAGCGGUGAAAUGCUUAGAUAUCACGAAGAACUCCGAUUGCGAAGGCAGUUCACUGGACUGCAACUGACACUGAGGCUCGAAAGUGUGGGUAUCAAACAGGAUUAGAUACCCUAGUAGUC